rnacentral:lncRNA from 1 species
CAAAAAUAAAAGAUCAAAGGGGGAAAAUUACCCGAUCAAGUUCAGCUUCCAACAGCGAUCUCUCUUCAUCGACAGAUCCCAUGAUUGUAUUGCAAUUGAACCAGUCAAAGACUACAGAUUCAAAAUCCCCAAAUUAUAGGGCAAAGAAAUAUUAUAAUUGGUGAUGAAAACGCUGGGUAUUAUUUAUUUAUUUGUUAGCCUUAUAAAAUCAUAAUGUCAAGCGUCCUUUGGAGGAAACCGAAAUGGCAGAGCCGUGAUGAUUCGAUCCUUUGGCAUGAGGUUGAGUUUGAACGUAUAGAUUAGACGCUGAAGAAAAAGACGGAGUAGUUCUGGUAUUAUUCCCGGUUUGGCGAAAAGGCAGCUUAAAAAUUCCCCGAACUUUGCCAUCGGAGGGUGACUUUUGCUCGGUAUCUAUCGCCAUCUCUCUCGCAAGCAUAUGUACAGCACUGUGUGCCGCAUCGCGAAGAUUCUAAAACCGAAAAACCUUUACCGGAAUUUGGGAGUUUUAAGACGAAGAACAAACAACAACUGACUUGGCUUCGGUUGGGAUGAACCACAGAAUUGAAUAAGUGGUUUCUUUCUUGGAUGUGGGAAAUUAGGGAUUUUAGGGGGGAAAGUCGGGGAUUUCGGGGGAGGGAAUUUUUUUAAAAUGGCGCUAUUUUUGUAAAAGUAAAUUUUAUUUUGUGGCUUUUUUUAUAAAAACGCCGCUAUUGCUUAUCUAUUGCGGCGUUUUUCAUAAAAACGUCG